rnacentral:lncRNA from 1 species
AGAUCAGGUAAAAGAAAUAUUUAAUUUGGUGAUGUUCGAUCUUUAUUGUGCGACUUGUUGUUUGUUGAAAUGUUCAGAGUCAGGCGAGUUACUUGAGGACAAGUAAAGAUUCAAGUUUGGGGUUAUGAUGUCAGUCCGUCAUAGCAUAUAUUUAGUCGAAGAAUCAGAGCAAAACAAGUGAAAGUCGAGCAAACAUGAGGAAGAAUGACC